CUCUCUUCUCCAGAUAUGAUUUGGUUAGAGGAUGAGUCAGAUAGAUAUAUUAAGAGAAUCUUAAAUACAUGUGUCCAUAAUUCACUCUUUAAAUCCAGGAACAGGAAACUCAGGAAUGAAAUAGAUUAAGAGAAUCAAAGAUACUUGUAUUCAAGAUUAGCAAGUAGGAGUGUCCUCAAAAGAAAUGGUGAUUAUCUAAAAUUCAGGGAUUAAAUGUGAUAAUGAACGUACAAAGACAACAUGAAGUAGAAAAUGCCACGUGGGAAGCACUGAGUAAAGGGCAAUUUACCAUGAUUUUGCCAAUAUGUGUGGUCAAUUCCCAAGCAAAUUAUUAUGUAACCCCUGCUAGAGGGAGAAAGCUUCCAGCCUUGGCUGGAGAGUGGGGAGGAUCCAGUGUCUGUAUUUUUUAAAAUGUCUACAGGUGUUUCUCAUGUGCAAAUUGGUAUCCCUGCAUGAGAACCAUAAACCAACAGAAAACCCAAAAGACCGAGGACAAUGAUGGGUUGCCGACAGCCCAAGCUUUUCUGCCACAGAAGAGUGGUUCCAGUCAGGAAGACUGAGCAAGAGGCUCAGAGUCUUAGCUAAGGACAAGCAAGUCGGGGCUUCUAAUACGACCAAAUGUCAUCGACGGGGGAGGGCAGUUCAGCACAAGAAGGGAGCAGCAGAUGGGUCAUGAAUCUAAUGAUGCCACAGUUUCGGGAGCAGAAUAGACCACCCCACGAUGGGAAUGGGACAACCAUCUGUAUCCAACGGGCAAACUGGGGUUAUUUUAUGAAUACCCUGAAAUGAGAGUAAAAGAAGUUAUGUUGUCCUUCCAUCCUUCCACCACUCCAUGUUGUGUGUCCAUUCCUUCAACAGGUAUUCAGUUUGGGUUCACCACAGUAUAUGUGGCCUCUUUCCAGUGGCCCCUCUGUUGGCUCUGGAGAACAAUAUAUUGGAAAUCAGAGUGGGUACGUGGAACCUUGACUACCCAGUAUAGACGUAUGGUGCCAGAAAAAGCCCAGAACAUCUCAGCAUGGCAGCCAACCAUGCAAGGAACAGCAAUUCUGGCUGUGGUGGACCAAUGUGAAUAAAAAGGCUUCAUUGGGUGAAGACUUAGAAAAGUCGAAAAAUGCAUUGGCGUUGCUUCCUACGGAAUCCAGUGUUGGGUACUGUUUAAUAUGAGAGGGAGAUGCUAACACUAUCAUCGUUAUAAACAACAUAGUUGUUGUAACUGUAAUUGUUAUUAUUUUUAAUAUAUUUUCUUUAUAAUUAUUAUUUGUGACUUACAAGACCCUUACAGAGGCAGUUGUUAAGAAGCGUGGCAGUUAUACUCUUGCUGAAGUGUUAAUUCAGUAGAAGCAUGGUAAUAGCAUUAAUAAGUACUCACUCUUUUGAUCCUCACAUGACUCUAAAAGUCACCCAGCAGUGCUUGUAUAAUGGAGAUAGAAAUCUAUCCGUUUAAUUGUUUGUAGAACCUAAAAUAAGAGCAGUCAUUCCACCGCAUUUGACCAUAUAUUCCAGACUAUCAGUUUAAAGUAGGAACUACCUGAUGAGGCCAUAGAAACCCUUUGUGCCUCCCCAAUCGUUCAUUACCUUCCUGUCCUCUGGGGCAGAGUUUCUUCCAUAAGGUGGCCCCAUCUCUCCUCCCCACCCCACUCUUGGCCUUUGCUACCCACUGUUGUUCAUUAGCUAAGCAGCCUCAUGUUCUGCAUGUGUCUGAGCUGUGAGGGAACAGAACUCAGCUGUUUACAAACUCUAUUGACUAUAACUAGUCUGAACAGCCUCUCUCCUUCCCUGCCCAUAACCCCACAGGGCAACAGGGGGCUCACAACCACAGCGAUUCCCAUGCCAGCCCAACAGGGAACCUUCUUCCCUAGAAAUAUUCUUACAACCAGGGCUGUUUCCUCCCUUACUUCACUGCCAGUUUCACUCCCAGGUUACAGUCCCCAACAAAAGGCUAUCCCAGUUAGGAUAUCUUAAUCAAGUCGCAUUGACCCUGAGUACCUGGCAUUUUCACAUGAGCACUCAUAGAAAUAGA